CUGAAAUCAUAAAAGAGAAGCAUUCCAAUAUGUCACGGGAUUGCUGAAACUCGAUGGCACAGAAUUCAUCAGAGCUCUGUCCCCUUCCUCCAUGAAGGUUGCAACAAAUGGAGACAAAGGAGGGCCGUUCACUUUCCCUAUCGCUGGCCCUUUACUAGUGCGGGGUCAGAGUUCUCCAAAUGCUGUGUGGAAGGUUUGGAGGCCUCUAAUUAAAAUGCAAAAUAGCUCUCACCUGGGACUUAUCUUGUGGUGAGAAACCAGGCUGUGAAGAAGUUAAUCUUAAAAAUCUUUCAACAGAAGGAUUUAUGGCUUGAUCUUUGAGGAGUCCAUGCCAUGAGGCGGGAUCUGGCGAGGGCAGCUCUAUCGUAGUAUCGCAUUUUCCACUCAGCCAAGGAAUCUCAGGCACAACUACUGCUCCCUGACCUAUGUAACCUGCCAACAACAGAGACCAAGGCUGAAACCCUGCCAUCAUACUACCAGCCACUGGAG